rnacentral:rRNA from 1 species
UACGUAGGGUGCAAGCGUUGUCCGGAAUUAUUGGGCGUAAAGGGCUCGUAGGCGGUUUGUCGCGUCGGGAGUGAAAACUCAGGGCUUAACCCUGAGCCUGCUUCCGAUACGGGCAGACUAGAGGUAUGCAGGGGAGAAUGGAAUUCCUGGUGUAGCGGUGAAAUGCGCAGAUAUCGGGAGGAACACCGGUGGCGAAGGCGGUUCUCUGGGCAUUACCUGACGCUGAGGAGCGAAAGUGUGGGGAGCGAACAGG